AAAUUGAAGAGUUUGAUCAUGGCUCAGAUUGAACGCUGGCGGCAGGCCUAACACAUGCAAGUCGAACGGUAACAGGAAGCAGCUUGCUGCUUUGCUGACGAGUGGCGGACGGGUGAGUAAUGUCUGGGAAACUGCCUGAUGGAGGGGGAUAACUACUGGAAACGGUAGCUAAUACCGCAUAACGUCGCAAGACCAAAGAGGGGGACCUUCGGGCCUCUUGCCAUCGGAUGUGCCC
rnacentral:rRNA from 1 species